GGGGUAAUGGCCUACCAAGGCGUCGACGGGUAGCCGGCCUGAGAGGGUGUACGGCCACAUUGGGACUGAGAUACGGCCCAGACUCCUACGGGAGGCAGCAGUGGGGAAUAUUGCACAAUGGGCGCAAGCCUGAUGCAGCGACGCCGCGUGGGGGAUGACGGCCUUCGGGUUGUAAACUCCUUUCGUCAGGGACGAAGCGAAAGUGACGGUACCUGGAUAAGAAGCACCGGCUAACUACGUGCCAGCAGCCGCGGUAAUACGUAGGGUGCGAGCGUUGCCCGGAAUUACUGGGCGUAAAGAGCUCGUAGGUGGUUUGUCGCGUCGUUUGUGGAAUACCGCAGCUUAACUGCGGGGUUGCAGGCGAUACGGGCAUAACUUGAGUGCUGUAGGGGAGACUGGAAUUCCUGGUGUAGCGGUGGAAUGCGCAGAUAUCAGGAGGAACACCGAUGGCGAAGGCAGGUCUCUGGGCAGUAACUGACGCUGAGGAGCGAAAGCAUGGGUAGCGAACAGGAUUAGAUACCCUGGUAGUCCAUGCCGUAAACGGUGGGCGCUAGGUGUGAGUCCCUUCCACGAGGUUCGUGCCGUAACUAACGCAUUAAGCGCCCCGCCUGGGGAG
rnacentral:rRNA from 1 species